GAUGAACGCUAGCUACAGGCUUAACACAUGCAAGUCGCGGGGCAUCAUGGAGGUUGCUUGCAAUUUCUGAUGGCGACCGGCGCACGGGUGAGUAACGCGUAUCCAACCUUCCCAUUACUACGGCAUACCCCGUUGAAAGGCGGCCUAAUUCCGUAUGCAGUCCGAAGCAGUCAUCUAAUUUGGACGAAAGGUAUAUUCUAUCGGUAAUGGAUGGGGAUGCGUCCGAUUAGCCAGCCGGCGGGGUAACGGCCCACCGGGGCAUUGAUCGGUAGGGGUUCUGAGAGGAAGGUCCCCCACACUGGAACUGAGACACGGUCCAGACUCCUACGGGAGGCAGCAGUGAGGAAUAUUGGUCAAUGGGCGUAAGCCUGAACCAGCCAAGUAGCGUGCAGGAUGACGGCCCUAUGGGUUGUAAACUGCUUUUAUGCGGGGAUAAAGUUGGGGACGUGUCCCUUUUUGCAGUACCGCAUGAUAAG
rnacentral:rRNA from 1 species